CCUACGGGGGGCAGCAGUGGGGAAUAUUGGACAAUGGGGGGAACCCUGAUCCAGCCAUGCCGCGUGUGUGAAGAAGGCCCUCGGGUUGUAAAGCACUUUCAGUGAGGAAGAACGCCUGGUGGUUAAUACCCAUCAGGAAAGACAUCACUCACAGAAGAAGCACCGGCUAACUCCGUGCCAGCAGCCGCGGUAAUACGGAGGGUGCGAGCGUUAAUCGGAAUUACUGGGCGUAAAGCGCGCGUAGGUGGCUUGAUAAGCCGGUUGUGAAAGCCCCGGGCUCAACCUGGGAACGGCAUCCGGAACUGUCAAGCUAGAGUGCAGGAGAGGAAGGUAGAAUUCCCGGUGUAGCGGUGAAAUGCGUAGAGAUCGGGAGGAAUACCAGUGGCCAAGGCGGCCUUCUGGACUGACACUGACACUGAGGUGCGAAAGCGUGGGUAGCAAACAGGAUUAGAUACCCGAGUAGUC
rnacentral:rRNA from 1 species